rnacentral:rRNA from 1 species
UACAGAGGGGGCAAGCGUUGUUCGGAAUUACUGGGCGUAAAGGGCGCGUAGGCGGCCUUCUAAGUCGAACGUGAAAUCCCCGGGCUCAACCCGGGAACUGCGUCCGAUACUGGAAGGCUUGAAUCCGGGAGAGGGAUGCGGAAUUCCAGGUGUAGCGGUGAAAUGCGUAGAGAUGUGGAGGAAUACCGAUGGCGAAGGCAGCCCCCUGGGUCAAGACUGACGCUCAUGCACGAAAGCGUGGGGAGCAACAGG